AUUAUUAGCUCAGUGGUACAGCCUUCGAUUGCUAAUCGAAAGGUCCCUGGUUCAAACCCGGGAGAGCUCUU